UUACCGAGUGAGGGCCCUCUGGGUCCAACCUCCCACCCGUGUUUAUUUUACCUUGUUGCUUCGGCGGGCCCGCCUUAACUGGCCGCCGGGGGGCUUACGCCCCCGGGCCCGCGCCCGCCGAAGACACCCUCGAACUCUGUCUGAAGAUUGUAGUCUGAGUGAAAAUAUAAAUUAUUUAAAACUUUCAACAACGGAUCUCUUGGUUCCGGCAUCGAUGAAGAACGCAGCGAAAUGCGAUACGUAAUGUGAAUUGCAAAUUCAGUGAAUCAUCGAGUCUUUGAACGCACAUUGCGCCCCCUGGUAUUCCGGGGGGCAUGCCUGUCCGAGCGUCAUUGCUGCCCUCAAGCACGGCUUGUGUGUUGGGCCCCGUCCUCCGAUCCCGGGGGACGGGCCCGAAAGGCAGCGGCGGCACCGCGUCCGGUCCUCGAGCGUAUGGGGCUUUGUCACCCGCUCUGUAGGCCCGGCCGGCGCUUGCCGAUCAACCCAAAUUUUUAUCCAGGUUGACCUCGGAUCAGGUAGGGAUACCCGCUGAACUUAAGCAUAUCAAUAAGCGGAGGAAAAGAAACCAACAGGGAUUGCCCCAGUAACGGCGAGUGAAGCGGCAAGAGCUCAAAUUUGAAAGCUGGCUCCUUCGGGGUCCGCAUUGUAAUUUGUAGAGGAUGCUUCGGGAGCGGUCCCCAUCUAAGUGCCCUGGAACGGGACGUCAUAGAGGGUGAGAAUCCCGUAUGGGGAUGGGGUGUCCGCGCCCGUGUGAAGCUCCUUCGAC
rnacentral:rRNA from 1 species